GUUUACGUAGCUCAGUAGGAACGUAGCUCCGGGCUAAUAAACAUUUCCUUCUGAUAAAGAAAUAUUUAGAUAAGAUAAAAGAAGUUAAACUUUAUUAAACGUGUCUCUAGUGAUCCCGUAGAGGUCACGGCUCCGUGUCAGAGUCACGGUGGAUCCCGUUACCGUCAGGUGUGAGGAUUAACGAUCAGUGGUUUGGACCUCUGUUGGAUAUCUGAUGGCGAGCUGCGACCCACCCAAGACUGAAGCAAGGGACACCAAAGACUUUGUCUUGGCAUGCACAACCGGCGUCUUCAUCAGCGGUGUCAGCUUUGUGAUGUCAAACAGAGCAUCAACGUGGAUCCUGGCAUGCCGUACUGUAGGUCAUGUGUGAUGGAAUGAGCAUGCUGCAUCCAUGCAUGCAUGCACUCAUGCUCACACAUAUGGAAGGCCUGUCCACUGGCAUGCACAGACACACUCAUCACUUUAUGCUGCUGCUGCCAAAUACAAUGAGGCUGAUGCUCAUGCAAAGGUCAUCAUGAAGGUGAAGCUGUUGCCCUCAAGGUCGUCGUAUGAAAUUUUGCAUAUGACCUCUACAAUCCUACUCAUCCUUUAUUUUAUUUGACUUCUCGUUUCAUCUCUUAGAUGUUGUAAAGAGCGUGGUGCACAUGAUACACUGAGCCCCUUCCACUCAGCAGCCUCAGUAAAUCUCCCUCCCUGCGUCCUAGAUAAUAACGUCCAUGUGAAGAUGAGCUCUCUAACAGAAGCGACAUCCUUAACCCUUGCCCUGUGUCAGGAUUUUUGCAUCUCCUUCCUCUCCGUGGCAUCGGCUCCUUCACUCUGCCUCUUGUUUUUUUACAUCCUUUAAUUCAUCAUGAUUCGACUCUCUUGACCCCGUCCUGCAGAAUGAAAAGACUCCUUAUCUCACAGUUAAAUAAAGGUUAAAUCAAAACUAAGAAAAAUACUGUUCGUCGUCAUCAAGCAGCUUCCUACCACCUCGGACAUGAAGCUCUGCAUCCUCCCUUGCCAUCUGUUUUGCACAUACAAAAAAAAAAAAGAAAACCCAUCACAGUCAUUCUCCCAGGAUCAAAUCAGAAACCGACUCAAGAUGCAAACAGCAGAGGAGAGCGAGGCUCCAGCAGCCUGUCAGCUCCGCUCACGUCUUUAUCUUUUCUCUCUGUCUUUCUAAAGAGAAGACAAGUGGGAGAGGGCCCUGCCUGUGGCGUACGGAAGAAGGAAACGUCCAUUCUAAUAUCCUGUCUGGGGCAUAUACUCUCCCCGUCAGCCUCGUGUCUAUCAGAGGAUCUGGCUGGAUCUGGUGUAGGGAGGAGGCAGCCGUGCUGAUAUCUGAUGUUCUCCUUGUUCUUUCUCUUUUCUGCAUUCAGCAUGGCAAGGACAUGCAGAGAAUUACAGGGAGGAGGGAGGCACACGUCCUGCACGCCGUUUAUGAGGUUUUGGAAAAGCAUUUUGUUUUCACACGUUCACAACGAAGGGUUAUGGGAAAGAGAGAGAGAGAGACAGUCUGUGAAACAAAAGUGGAGGAAGUGAGGAAAGGAAACAGAGCGAGGACGAAACGACGGCUCAGAAACCUCGUCCAUGGCACCUUUCCAUCUCGCCUUGCAUGACCUUCUCUUUAAGUACAGCCUGUGAGGUUUUCCCAGAGUAAAAAUAGGCCCGGCUAAAUUCUACACUACACUGAAUUAUUUCGACAGUGAGGUUUUUUUUUCUGUUUGUUUUCUUUCCUGCUAACACCGGCACUUUGCUUCACCCUUCAUUGUGUGUUGUACAUUCAGAGUGCCAGAAAUAUGCCCAAAGGUGUGUACCCACCACCUAGCAUGUUUACCCUGACCACGCUUCUAAAGUUUGUCCGUGCUCAAACAAAGCUCCCAUAGUGCAAGAGGAAGCUUCAGGGAGGAAAAGUUCUCUGUUUUACAUUUUUUACUUUCACCAAAAGAACGUGUAAAGGGAGCUGGCUGAAUGCUCUGAGACAAGGUGUGAAAUUAUCAUUUUCACACAAACUUUUCUUAUCGAGUUUGAGCGUUGCUUGUCCAGCUGGAAACUGAUGACAUGGUGUAAAAAUAGGCAGACAUUACAGCAGGGUGGUAGUUACAGUUGUAGUUAAAGGGUUUAUGCAUUGUUUGAUUUUUUUAAAAGAGGAUCAUCGUGUG